AAUUUAACAUGCGCAAGAUGGUUAACGGGAACCUCGCGUGCCACCUCGCAAAUGUGGCGGUUUUCAGGCGUAAAAAACCUUGCAAAGCAAGGGCCGGGCAAGACCGGUGCCAGCCGCCGCGGAAACACCGGUGUCUUGAGUGGUAACCGUUAUUAUUGGGUUUAAAGGGUCUGUAGCCGGGUGGAUAAGUCUCUUGGUAAAUCUGGCAGAUCAACUGUCAGGAUUUCAGGAGAUACUGUUAGGCUUGAGACCGGGAGAGGUGAGAGGUACUUCAGGGGUAGGGGUGAAAUCCUGUAAUCCUUGAAGGACCACCAGUGGCGAAGGCGUCUCACCAGAACGGACCUGACGGCAAGGGACGAAAGCUAGGGGCGCGAACCGGAUUAGAUACCCGGGUAGUCCCAGCUGAAAACGAUCCUCAUACAUGUCU
rnacentral:rRNA from 1 species